CAGCUUAUUGAUGAAAUGGUUGAUAAAGGAUUCUCUGCAGAUGCCACCACCUUCGAAUGUAAUACAUUUAUCGCGCAAUGACGAUCUCAUUCUGAGAAAACUACGAAAUCGUUCCAAAUGUUCUAAAGAUGCAAAGUUUAAGUGAUAUUUUAACAAUCAAGACUUGCACAACAGAUGGACGAGGUAUUUGUUAUGUUGUGAGUUGUUGCUACUUCAAUAUAUUUCAUUUGAGUACAAUUACAAUCCCUCUAGUAGUUACUUUCCCUUUUCAAAAGAAACUAUAUAUUAGCACUAGAUUAUGAUUUUAGGUUGUAUAUUCACAUUAACAUUUAUGAAUAUGUUUGAUUGCUAGAUAAAAAGGACUGAAGUACUAUUGGGUGAGUAUGUGAAUAACCUAAGAUUUGUUAUUGUGCCUAUGCAGAUACCUUUCCCUUUCUCUUGUGAGACCCUGCUACUUCCCUUAUCAAUGCAUUUUGUGUAUAGUUUCAGUGUUGGCAAUUCAUUUAUCAACCUACCAUGAUGAAUUUCUAAUUUUUAUUAUAUUCCUAAAAGCAAAACUCGCACGCUAACUAGAUAAUUCCUUUUAUAUAUGUAGAAUGUAUAAGCAUAUUUGUUCUGUGCUUAAUUCUAUGUGCAUUUGCAGGUUUUUCACCCUUUUUCCAUACAGGAAAUCAGUGCAUGUUGUGGUUUUUAUCUUGCAAGCAUUUUGUGAUUCCAUAAUCACAAUUAAUAAUGUGCCUAUUCCCUAAUUUGCAACUUUCUGCAUUAUUUUCUGCUUGAUGAUGCAACUGCAAAAAGUAGAAAGUGGAUUGACGGAAAAAAGAAGAAGAAGAAGAAGAAGAUAAAGAAGAUAGUUAUGGGUCCAUGGCUAGGUUUAAAGGAUGGAAAAACAAAAAAAAAAAAGAAGGGAAGAGAGGGGAGGGGGGUGUUUGCGUGUGGGGUGGUGUGUAAGCUUAAGACAGCUAGACAGUUGAAGUAGAAACAUAAAAAUUGCCAUAUUGGAGUUUGCUUACUGUUAAAAGAAAGAGAAUCUUCCAAAAAAUGUUGGAAUGUAUUAUACAUAGAAUUUGGGUAGUAGAUACUUACAUUAUAGGUGUAAGUGAUUUAUGUUCAAAUGGUUGCUAAUAAUGGAAUGAUAUUUUUUGAUAUAAUAGCAGCUUUACUUGUAUUUCUAUUUUAUAUGUUUAGCCACUGGCGUCCUGUAUAUUGUCAUUUUAUUUUCAUGAGUAGGUUGGAAAUAUCAAAGCUUUAUAUUGUUGUUAUGCACAUGGAGAAAAAACCCAAUUGUACUGUGACCUCAUAACACUUCCCCUUCUUGUGCAGGAUCUAGCUCUUGUGCUUCAGGUGCAAGUCCUUGUUCUACCGUACAAGAACAAGGAACUGCCUUUGAUUUUACAUAUGAUAAUGGUACAGAUUGGGAAUUCUGUGUCUUUGUAGAUUGAAUUGGCUUGCAUGAAUCGUCAUGACUUAGAUGUCAAUAGUAGAUUAAACAAAUAUUUAAUUAUUGUCCGAGUCGUGUAUAUAUUUUGUGCUAAAGUUUAGGAUUUUUGGGAGUAGGUGUUGGAGUUGCUUAUCAGAUACUAUUCGGUUAUUGAAAGCUAGUUGUUUGCUGGUGAUGUCAAAUAUGUAUUAAUUGUUUAGAAGCAUAUGCUCAUGCAAAUAAAAAUGGUUAAUGCUUUAAAUUAAA